rnacentral:misc_RNA from 1 species
CAUCCAUCAGACAGCUUGCUGUCUGCACAGAGCCUUCGCUUUGCCCUGGCACAGCGUGGCUUCAUGGUUUGUCGUGCGGAGUUCACCGACGUCGACUCUUGGGAGAAAUCCUGGGUGGUUGUCUGUGGCCGUGCGUGCAUGGUGCAGGGACUGUAGUUCUCGUCCCGUAAGCACCUACCUUUCAAUUUU